ACUGCCUGCUUGCAAGGCAGGUGCUUAUGGUGCUGAGCUAAAUCCCCAGCCCCAACGUUUACUAUAGUGAAAGACAAAUUGCCGUUAUGGCCUGAACAGACCCCUCUGCCCUGAACAGCAGGCUGCUCAGGAAGUUCGUUCUCGUGAGUGACUUUGUGAAGUGUGAUUUAAUAAAACAAUGGCGAAAAAAAAAAAAAAAUAAAACAAUGGCGAACGCUGCUGCCAAGUGCCGUUCAGGGGAAGGCAGGCUCCUGAAAACAUCACGCUGCGUCCUCAUCCACUUUACUCACCGCAUCGGCGGGCGCCAUGAGGCUUCCGGCUCUUCCCCAAAGUCACAACGACCAUGAAAGGGAAACGUUUUCAAUCGAUUCAGGACAUCAAGAAAAACAGGACAGUGCAGCUGAAGGCACAGAAGAGGACUCCAGAACUGCGCCAGAAAGCGGCAAGAAACAGGGACGACCGUGUGUAAAAGAGAGGUGUAUUUCCCAGGGAAUGAACGCCUCGGCGAUUUGGUCUCCACGGGACAUCUGGCCAUAUCUGAAGACAUUUUGGGGUGUCCCAACUAGGGAGGGGAUCAACUACUGGCAUUGGGCUGGCCUCGAAUUUGCGGCGAUCCUCUUGCCUCAGCCUCCUGAGUGCUGGGAUUACAGGCGUGUGCCACCAGGCUGGGCUGAACAUAGCGUUUUAUGGACCUGGUCUCCAAUGGAUGGUGCCAGCCAAUCUGUCAGCAGGGAGAACUGCUGGAGUAUAGGUGCCAGGUGACCCUGGGCUAUUUUUCCCCCCUUCUUCCUCACUCCCGCUCCUCUCCUCCCACUGCCCCUCUUCUUCCUCCUCCUCCUUUCCUCUUCCUCCUCCUUCUGGGAGGUGUUGGGGAUGGAACUAGAGCCCCACAUAUGUGAGGUAAGUGCUCUACCACUCAGGCCACUUCAGUCACAUCUCCAGCCCUGUGGCUUCUUGAUCUUUACUUCCUUCCAGUGCCUGAUGGAUGGCAGGUAACUGAGCGCCUGUGGGAGUGAAUCAGAGGAGGGACUCUGGGACCCCAGCAAUGUGGCCAUCGUUAGCUGCAUUCCUGGUGCUGGGAUGAGGUGGGGCUGGGGACGAACGGUGCACAGGGAGAGAUGAGCUGGGGUGCAGAGGAUACAGGCUGAACUUGCAGCUCCAACCCUGGGCCGGAGAGUUUCCCCGCUGUCCUGUGAGCCGCAGGGGCUGCAGCUGUUAGGUUCCUGCCAGGGAACUGUUUUUUAAGGGCCCAAAAUGACCUGAUUUGAGCAAAGUGGAAAGUGUGUCCUAAGAAAGGGGUUGCCCGAUGCAUGACUACUCACGGCUUGGAUCCACAAAUGUCCCUCCCUGCUUUGUUGCUAUGCAGUGGCUAACAGUUUUCUGAACAGCUGGAAGCAGGUUUUUUUCAGCUUGUGACUGUAUAUGAGAAAAAUGAAAUCACAUCACGUCUACAGACAUCUGCCCGCGACCAGGCCCGCUGCUGUCUCUGACUCAGCCCUGCGACCUCUGCAGUGACUUCCCCUCACCCUUCCGCCUGUGGGAGUCGGCUCCCUGCCUCCUGGGACCCCCAGAGACUGCAGCAGGAAAGGGGACCUGCUGUGCUAUUCCAGAAGGCUAUUUCGGCCAGGUGAUUCGGCUUUAGGGUUAUCUGGCCUGUUUGGUCCUGGGUGGGUCCUUACAUCAUGGAUUCUCAACAAGCUGCACAUUUGAAUGACCCGAGGCAUUUGCAAGCAUAGGGAUGCCCAGGUCCUGGCCCCAAUUGAUUGGAUCAGAACUGUAGGGGGCCAGUGAGACCUGGGAAUGUGUAUUUAUGGAACUUCCCAGGUGACUCGAAUGGGUGAAUGGUGGUUAUUGCCCUGGAAGCUGUCCUUUUAAUGGUUGGCUUCUUUUUAAAAUUUAUUUUUUAAUGCUUGGUUCUGAUGCAGGUGGCCCAAGGACUUUGCUGUCUUUGGGUCACCUUGGUUCUCCAAUCUAUUUUCCUUUAUUUCCCAAGAAGGCACCUUCUCAGGACAGAUCAGAGACCAAAGUCCUAGAUUCUGAAAAGAACAGCACCCUGUCCCUCUUUUUCUGGGUCACAGAACGUAGGUCAUGGUCGUAGAGUGGAAGAAAAGAUUAAAACUCAAAGUUACUGAAAGGAAGUAGGAUAUGUGAAAUUCUGUCAGUAUCUGAAGAGAUGGGAUUCGGGGGUGCGUUUUGCAAAAUCGUGCUCUCCAAGGAGGCAGACACUGAGGGCUGUGACGCAAGAUUCCCGUCAGAGGAGGAGAAGGACCCAAGGACGAAUGUUGAAAGACUGGUGCCGAAGGAAGUGGCUUCUUAGUCUGUGGGAUCUGGAGCAAAGCUUCGAGAUUCACUGAUCUCGCUGGACAGUGGAGAGAUAAAGGUGCAGAGCGGGGGGAGGCAAGGGCCUGCGGCUGGGCAGGGCGUCAAGAUGACCCAGCAUUACAGCCCUGGCUUCCUGACACCUGCUUCCUGCCACCCUUCCCUCUACUGCUCAAGGACACAUCACCAGGCCGCUGCCAGCCCUGUCCCUAUCCAGUCUGUGCGCCCCCACCUUUGGCACAAUGCCCACAGCCAAAAGACGAGACUGUCUGUGAGUCUGGAUCACACCUGCCAGGCGACAGGGCUGCAGCCCGCGGGCGGCUGUGGGGAGCAGAGAG